GAUGAACGCUGGCGGCGUGCCUAAUACAUGCAAGUCGAGCGAACGGACGAGAAUCUUGCUUCUCUGAUGUUAGCGGCGGACGUGUGAGUAACACGUGUAUAACCUACCUAUAAUACUGGGAUAACUUCGGGAAACCGGCGCUUAUACCGUAUAAUAUUUUGCACCGCAUGGUUCAAAAGUGAAAUACGGUCUUUCUGUCUCUUAUAGAUGGAUCCGCGCUGCAUUAGCUAGUUGUUAAGGUAACGGCUUACCAAGGCGACGAUGCAUAGCCGACCUGAGAGGGGGAUCGGCCACACUGGAAGGGAGACACGGUCAAGACUCCUACGGGAGGCAGCAGUAGGGAAUCGUACGCAAUGGGCGAAAGCAUGACGGAGCAACGGCGCGUGAGAGAUGAAGGUCUUCGGAUCGUAAAAAUCUGUUAUUAGGGAAGAACAGAUGUGUAAGGAAAUGAGCACAGAGUGACGGUAACGAAUCAGAAAGCAACGGCUAACUACGUG
rnacentral:rRNA from 1 species